AGGAAGGAAGGAAGGAAGGAAGGAAGGAAGGAAGGAAGGAACGAACGAACGAACGAACGAACGAACGAACGAACGAACGAACGAACGAACGCUGGCGGGGGCUGUAAGCAGCGCGAUCUACAACUCCCAGAGGCCUCUGCGGGAGGGCCGGGCACCAGCAGCCAAUCGGAGCCCGCACCUCAGCACUAUAAAAUGUGGCCUCGGGCCAACUUCCGUCUCUCUCGGCUAUGGCGGCGAGUGGGGGUAGCGGUGCGGGGGGCCAUCCGGGACCAUCCACCGGCAUCCUUCGUCCCCGGGGCGCCCCCGCCGCAUCGGCACCGCCGCAUCGGCACCCCGUGGCUAUGGCGCCCGGCGGCGGCGCUUCGGUGCGCUCCGAAGGCUGCGAAGGGCAGCGCGGCGUUGUUCCCGCCCUCCUCCCCGGGCCCGGCCCGGCCCCGGAUGCGGUCAAAAAGGAGCCGAGAGCAAAGGGAUUUUCCUCGACGGUCGCCGCUCAGUUGGAGCCUUCGUAGCUGUCCGGCAACAUUUCGGGAAAGUACACGGCCCGCCGUGGGCUAGGGGUGGUUACUGGUGCUGGAAGCAGACAGCUGCCGCAAAUCCCUGCCCCUGGGGUUCAAACUGACGCGCGGGGGGGCUGGAUAUCUUGUCUGUAGUUUUGUUUCAAUUUACUUUUCUUGUGAUUUACUUAAAGCUCAGGAUUCUCUUCUUCCCCAGCAGCAUCGUGGUAUAGAAGGUGAUCCUGGAGCAUGGGAUGGCUGGUGACGGCCUCAGCUUUGCGCAGGGGUCCUGGGUGUUCCAGAGCUCACCCAUCUGAUGAAUAAACCCAGGUGAGAAGGUAGUAAGUAUCCUUGUUAGAACUCCACAGCCCAUCCCUCCAAAUCCCUUUCCCAUCAGAUCUGAAUACCGAUCUUGUGGUCGAAAAAGGAGGAAGAGUAAAAUUCAUGCUGGUCUUGGGCUCUCUGCAGGUGUGUCCUGUGCUGAGAGGGGCCACUAGGAAGACAGGCUGUGCCAGCCUCACUGUUUUGGGAAGUCUGGUUGGGAAGGAAACCCCUGGUCGGGAAAAGGGGUAAACGUUGGGCACAGGGGGCAGAGGUGCCAUGAAGGUUGGAGGGCUGAGAUUUGUUGGGAGAAUCUGAGCCAUGGAUUUACAGUGACCCAUCGGCUUCAGGCAUUAAACUCUGGCUCAAUUUUUUCAGCAGUUACUCUGGAAAAGGGUGAGCUCUGUCCCAAGGGUUUCAGCUUGCUUCCCAUAGGACCCGAGUUGUGGGGAAGCUGCAGUGUGGAGCAUGUCUAAGCAGAGGGUGAGUCAUCCCUGAGAGACUUGGUGCUGCAGUGCCAGACUGUUCUUUCCCAGCCCUCUCCUCUGGAAGUGGGAGCUCUGCAGAGCCAGAUCCUGGCUCCUUCCCAAGCUGUGAGCUCCACCAAGGGGGAUCAGCCACUUCUGGGCUCCACUCACCUGCACUGGAAGGUGAUGGAACUGGUUUGGCUCCAGGUGUUGCUCAAGCUCCUGUUCAGGUGCUCCACGUAGAAGAACAGUCUGUUCCAUGGAGUUUUCUCAGGAGAGGGUCUGGAUAUACUGGAUGUAUAUAUCUGAAUAUAUCUGGAUAUACUUUGUUAGAGCACAGCACCAAUAAUGCCAAGGGUGGUGGGUUUGAUCCCUGUAUGGGCCAUUCACUUAAGAGUUGGAGUCAAUGAUUCCUGUGAGUCCCUUCCAGCUUGGAAUAUUCUCUCCGUGAUAAGAGUUUGAAUAAAUGCAAUUACUUCAAA